rnacentral:rRNA from 1 species
GGGGAAUUUUGGACAGUGGGCGAAAGCCUGAUCCAGCAAUGCCGCGUGAGUGAAGAAGGCCUUCGGGUUGUAAAGCUCUUUUGUCAGGGAAGAAACGGUGAGGGCUAAUAUCCCUUACUAAUGACGGUACCUGAAGAAUAAGCACCGGCUAACUACGUGCCAGCAGCCGCGGUAAUACGUAGGGUGCAAGCGUUAAUCGGAAUUACUGGGCGUAAAGCGUGCGCAGGCGGUUUUGUAAGUCUGACGUGAAAUCCCCGGGCUCAACCUGGGAAUUGCGUUGGAGACUGCAAGGCUAGAAUCUGGCAGAGGGGGGUAGAAUUCCACGUGUAGCAGUGAAAUGCGUAGAGAUGUGGAGGAACACCGAUGGCGAAGGCAGCCCCCUGGGUAAAGAUUGACGCUCAUGCACGAAAGCGUGGGGAGCAAAC